UUACCGGCGGUCUCUAAUUCGCUUGGUGCAGGUCGGGAACUGAUUGGCUUUUCUAUUUCUAAUGAUUUCCAGGCGGCGAAAAGUUAUUGGUCAAGAUUAGAUGGAAAGUGAAUUGGAUCCCGCCUUGCAUCAACUGAAUCGAAGACCGGGGUGAAG
rnacentral:pre_miRNA from 9 species